rnacentral:rRNA from 1 species
GUAGGUGGCAAGCGUUGUCCGGAAUUACUGGGUGUAAAGGGAGUGUAGGCGGGAUAUCAAGUCAGAAGUGAAAAUUACGGGCUCAACUCGUAACCUGCUUUUGAAACUGACAUUCUUGAGUGAAGUAGAGGCAAGCGGAAUUCCUAGUGUAGCGGUGAAAUGCGUAGAUAUUAGGAGGAACACCAGUGGCGAAGGCGGCUUGCUGGGCUUUUACUGACGCUGAGGCUCGAAAGCGUGGGGAGCAAACAGGAUUAGAUACCCUGGUAGUCCACGCCGUAAACGAUGAUUACUAGGUGUGGGGGGAUUGACCCCUUCCGUGCCGGAGUAAACACAAUAAGUAAUCCACCUGGGGAGU